AUGACUUUCAUCUUCAUCUUCAUCUGGACACUCACAGUCUUUACUCAAGUGUGUAGAGGACAGUACACUCUUAAUCAGAGUCCAUCAACAACAGCAGUUCAACCAGGACAACAAGUUCAAAUAAACUGUAAAGUCAGCAGUGCAGUGUAUAGUAGUAAUUGUUUAGCCUGGUACUUACAGAGACCUGGAGAAGCUCCUAAACUCCUCAUAUAUUCUGCAACAACCCUCCAGUCAGGAACUCCAUCAAGAUUCAGUGGCAGCGGAUCAAACACAGAUUUCACUUUGACCAUCAGUGGAGUUCAGACUGAAGAUUCAGGAGUUUAUUACUGUCAGAGUUUUCACUAUCCAAGUAGCACUUAUGUGUACACACAGUGAUAAAGAGUGAUACAAAAACCUCUGUCAGUCAGACUGCACAGUGACUGAACUCAUACACCUGACAGAUACUGCAGAUGAUCAUACUACACAAUAACACACAACACUGAUCGGAGAACACACACAAAUAUUUUUUAUCAGUAUUUAUAAAGACAAAAAUUUUAACAAUCAUCUAUCCAAACUGCUUAUGCAUAUUAAUUCCACAGGGAGUGCAGUAGCUUAAAAUUAUUUGAUUAUUUGACUAAUACGAUCAUACUUUAGGUUUAAUAUCAAACUCAUUUCUGCUUUAUAUUCUUCAAACCCCCUAUUGAAUAAUGAAGCUGUUAAGAGCACAACAUACACAAACUCUUCAACUUCAAAUGAGAAUAUAAGAGAGGAUUUUUUUUUCUGCAUUUGUCUGUUCUUGUAAUUCAGUGGAAAACAGCAAAUCUGAUGAUCUUUGAAUAAUUAUGAUCAAAUGCACCAACAUUUCUUCAGUGAGUUCAGUGUUCAUAGUGGUGAGAAUAAAACUUUAUACUUUGUUAUGAAUUGGCUAGCACAAUCCAUUGGGACAAUUUUAAAUGUUUUAAGAAUUAUAAAAUGGUACAAAAACAACUUCAUAACUGAAUAAUGCCUUCAUUUAGAGAAGUAAAACUGGUUUGUUUCAGUUCAGAUGAUUCAACCAAUCAAUCAGUGACACUGAGAGUGAAGUGAAAAUCAUAUUUAUAUUGUCAUGCAAAAAUCCACAGCAACGUUCAUAUUUAUAAAAAACAUGGAAAACAUGGUCUUUGACAUGGAAAAGCGCUUACCGCCAUGUCAGGGUCUGAGUGCUGCAGAUUUUUGGAAAUAAAAGUCAUUCUUGCUGCUCAAAAAAGGAUUUGAACAUUGACAUGAGCUGCGCACAAUUUCAAGAUCAUUUGUGAAUUAAAGAUUUUCCAUCUUCAA